CGAAAUAAGACGUUAUCUAAUAAUAAAAGGCAACAAAAUAAUAAACACUGCGGGGAAUCACGUCGUUUUAUUUUGAUAUGAAACACGGUUAAUGGCGGCGUCAUUGUCUCGACUUGGUUUGUGUAGAAUAUGCGGCAAGGCUUUUCAAAGCGCCUCAGGAUUAAACGAUCAUGAAAGAAAACAUACGGGGGUAGCGCCAUACAGAUGUUGUGGACGGAUGUUCUACAGCAAAGCUAAUUUUACAAGGCACAUAUUAGAUUGUUUUGUGAAAAUUAGGCAUUUUCAGAAACGUGCGCAGCACAUAAGGAAACUAAAGAGUUUGCCUGUGAGACAUGUGGGAGGUCGUUCGCAAUAAUGGCAGACCUAAGAGCGCACAUGACACAACACCAAGAAGCAACGUUUAAAUGUGACACAUGCGGACAUGAAAUGAAAAGGAGAGACCAGUAUGAUGAUCACAUGGCAAUGCAUCUUGGGGCCAAGAAACAUGCAUGCAAAUGCGGGAAGACAUAUACUCACAAGCCGAAUUUGUAUAGGCAUCAGAAAUUGUGCAAACAAGAUAACAAUACCAAUGCAGUUGCAAGCAAUAAUACGCCAUCAACUUAAGAAAAAGCUGAAACGUGUAAACGCUAUUUGUGUUUUAUGUUGUUUAUUUUUAUUUGCAAGUUUUUAAUUGUGCAACAAAUUUUAACACAAUGUAUAAUAAGUGAUUUACUUCAAGUGAUUGUAUAGGUGCAUUUUUUACACAGCCAUGUCGUCAUGGUUAUCCUCAGGGAGAGUGAUACGCUUGAAUUAUCUUCUGUUUAUUAUUUAUUAUA